UGCACUUGAUUUAUACGGCAAUUAGGUAUAUUUUUUUUUUGAGUUCGGGCCACGGGUGUUAACUUCCUUCAUGAACCGUAAAAGUUUGUUCUUGAACAGGUUGUUCUCGUUGUUGAGACGUGAUCCACUUCCUCCAGCCCCCUAGGGACCGACUUCACUCCGAGGCGUAUUAUUGUCGACUCUCUGCAUUUUUCAGUUUGUGGGGACAUCGAGAGGAAGGGGAUCUCGCCUGUUUGCAUCAUUCAAAGCCCUCGACAGUGCCUAUUUCAACUCCGUCAUAACCUUAUCCUACCGCGUGAGGUGGACUAGAAUAAUCGCAUGUUGCUCUUGCUUUACCACAUCGACGACAUGCUCUUCAUCAUCUGUAUCAUCGGGAGUUUCCAAAUAUGUCAGAGGAUAGUACAUGUCAUACACUGGCGAGGCAUCAUUCUCUUUGUUAUGGGUGUCACUAAUUGAAUCCUCAAAAUGAGGUUGAACCCCUCGAAUUCAGGAUUGUGA
rnacentral:lncRNA from 1 species